rnacentral:tRNA from 4 species
GCCCCGGUGGUGAAAUUGGUAGACACACCGGACUUAAAAUCCGUUGGCCGCAAGGCCGUGCCGGUUCGAUUCCGGCCCGGGGCACCA